rnacentral:rRNA from 1 species
CUGGCUCAGAACGAACGCUGGCGGCAGGCCUAACACAUGCAAGUCGAGCGCAUCCUUCGGGAUGAGCGGCGGACGGGUGAGUAACGCGUGGGAACGUGCCCAGAUCUACGGAAUAGCCACUGGAAACGGUGAUUAAUGCCGUAUACGCCCUUCGGGGGAAAGAUUUUUCGGAUUUGGAUCGGCCCGCGUUAGAUUAGGUAGUUGGUGGGGUAAUGGCCUACCAAGCCGACGAUCUAUAGCUGGUCUGAGAGGAUGAUCAGCCACACUGGGACUGAGACACGGCCCAGACUCCUACGGGAGGCAGCAGUGGGGAAUCUUAGACAAUGGGGGAAACCCUGAUCUAGCCAUGCCGCGUGAGUGAUGAAGGCCCUAGGGUUGUAAAACUCUUUCAGCUGGGAAGAUAAUGACGGUACCAGCAGAAGAAGCCCCGGCUAACUCCGUGCCAGCAGCCGCGGUAAUAGGAGGGGGCUAGCGUUGUUCGGAAUUACUGGGCGUAAAGCGCGCGUAGGCGGAUUGGAA